rnacentral:rRNA from 1 species
AGGCUUAACACAUGCAAGUCGAGGGGUAGGCUUCUUCGGAGAGCACACGACCGGCGCACGGGUGAGUAACGCGUAUGCAACCUACCUUUUUCAGGAAGAUAGCUCCCGGAAACGGGAAUUAAUAUUCCAUAUUCUAUAUAUAUUGCCUGAUAUUGUAUAGUAAAGUAUUUCACGGAAAAAGAUGGGCAUGCGUGUCAUUAGCUAGUUGGUGAGAUAACAGCUCACCAAGGCGACGAUGACUAGGGGUUCUGAAAGGAUGAUCCCCCACACUGGUACUGAGACACGGACCAGACUCCUACGGGAGGCAGCAGUGAGGAAUAUUGCGCAAUGGAGGCAACUCUGACGCAGCCAUGCCGCGUGCAGGAGGACGGCCCUAUGGGUUGUAAACUGCUUUUCUUAACUAAGAAGGAUGGAUAUUUAUAUUCAUUUGACUGGUUCUGGAAUAAGCAUCGGCUAACUCCGUGCCAGCAGCCGCGGUAAUACGGAGGAUGCAAGCGUUAUCCGGAUUCACUACGUUAAAAGGGUGCAUAAGCGGAAGGAUAAGUCAGUGGUGAACUC